AGCACACAAGGAAGGAAGCCAGAGGGGACGUCCUAGUGGAACCUUUCUGGGAGACACUGAAAAACACCAAGGUGCAUCCCAGUUCUGUAUGUCUGAGCCUACGGUGGGGCAGCUCAGGAUCAGACAGGGUACCUUCGGCUGAGCUCCUGGCCAGUCUGGAGAUCUCAUGAUUAGUCGGUGCAGUGACCGAGGUUGCCACCUUUUCUGAAAUACAAUUUUGGAGUUGGCUCAGAGUCACCCA